ensembl:lncRNA
CAUGAAUCACACAGGAAUGUAAAACCCAAACCCAAAUGUGGAAAAUCAGAAAUGUCUGAUGUAGCUGAGAGAUGAUGGCUAUGGCUAGCAGUGAGGCAGGGGGCUGAGUGCUGGCUGUGCAUGCAGCAGGUGGACCACUGAGGGAAGCUGCAGGUUCAGCAUGCCUGUCCCGUCCCUCCCUGGAGGGGUGGGCAGGGAGACCCAGCUCCCUGGAGCCACCCCACGUGCCUGGGAAGGCACUGGGCUGGCAGCUUAUCUGGCACUGGACAGCAGUGUAAUCUGCCUGCUCCAGCCCUGGCCCAAUGGCUCUCAGCCACCCUAGCAGUUUGGCAGUGAGAUGAGUGCGUGUAUUGGAGCCUGGGGGUAGCAUAACGCCUUCGGUACCGACUGCACCUCAACGAAAUGAAACUCAUGUCUGGGCUGCUCAGCUGUUCUGGAAGGCUCAGUGCCAUGGCUGUCCCAGUGUGUUUUUGCUCAGGGGGGUGAGGUGCUGCUCAGCUGGGUCAACAUGAGCAUGUGCUGUGCAGAUAUGUAGCUCUCCUGCUAGGCAGUCUGAAGAAUGUGUGGCAAAAAAGAGAAAGCUGAGAAACUCAGAAGCAGAGAGAUGAUGUGACCAGCAAGCAUGGACUUCACAUAAACAGAUGAAUGCAUGCUGCCGCUGCAAUGCACCUAUGAAAUUGAGAGCUGACAAUAGUGGAGUCAUGACGACAUAAAUCAAGACCUUUAUAGAUGACACGUUGUCACUUGCAGGUAAUCUGGAGCUGUUAAUGCCACACUGUAGUUCUGGAUGGCUAUAUGUAGGUGACUCACAUGGAUCCCUGCAAGUCAUCAGGCUACAAGUGACAUCUAAUAGGUAGAAGAGUAGUCUUCUUUCAGCUUGGUCUGGCAGCAGCACUAGGUGUAUAGUCCCUAUUCUCAUGAUUUAUGCAAUGCCAUUUAGCUAGUGCCACAUUCAUGGCAGUAGAAGGCCUGAUUGAGUGUUCCUGUUUCUCUUGUUCUCGAUUACACUUCUACUUCUAGAACUCAUCAAAAAUCUAUUGCUUUGCUCUCCACAAAAGAAAUCUAAAUAAGUCAAAAAGACUGUUACUGUAAUUUCCACUUUGAGAUGUAUUUUAUUAAAAUGUUAUCCUCUUGAUAAAACAGUGAUCAGUCUCUGAUUGUGCAGUGGUGUUUCAGAGUUAAUUAAUAAAUCAUGCCUAC